AAUCUUCCACAAUGGGCGAAAGCCUGAUGGAGCAACGCCGCGUGCAGGAUGAAGGCCCUCGGGUCGUAAACUGCUUUUAUGAGUGAAGAAUAUGACGGUAACUCAUGAAUAAGCACCGGCUAACUACGUGCCAGCAGCCGCGGUCAUACGUAGGGUGCAAGCAUUAUCCGGAGUGACUGGGCGUAAAGAGUUGCGUAGGCGGUUAGUAAAGCGAAUAGUGAAACCUGGUGGCUCAACCAUACAGACUAUUAUUCGAACUCACUAACUCGAGAGUGGUAGAGGUAACUGGAAUUUCUUGUGGAGGAGUGAAAUCCGUAGAUAUAAGAAGGAACACCAAUGGCGUAGGCAGGUUACUGGACCAUUUCUGACGCUAAGGCACGAAAGCGUGGGGAGCGAACC
rnacentral:rRNA from 1 species